UUCAGUCCGUCACUAAAACUGCUCAGUCAGCACGGGUCCUGGCGUGUUGUGGAUAGAGCACCAACCAGCUUGGGACAGAUGAACAGUACCUUGAGUAGAGACACCUGAAAUAGGCUCUCAGAUGGAAAUCUGGAUGCAUGAGAGAGAAGCACUGAGACAGCAAGUCCAAUGCCUGCCCUUUUAAAGCCCUGCUCACAAGGCUGCCGCUGGAUGUCUAGGAACUUGUGUCUGAAGAGCACUCCCACCAUCCCUAGAACCAGCUAAAAGGUUCCACGAUGAAAAUCAGAAAAGAUGACUUGUGUUUGUAAGACACGCCGCCCUGCUUGCUUCAAACCACAUGAAGAAUAAACCCUAACACCAGCUGGAAAGCAAACUACAUAAAAACUGGAUUGCCAGUGUGCUGGUUAAUUUUUGUCAACUGGAUGCAAGCUGGAGACAUCUGAGAAGAGGGAACCCCAAUCAAGACAAUAUCUUCAUUCUUGGUUAAUGACUGACAUGGGAGGGCCCAGCCCACUGUGGGAGGUAUCACCCAUAAGUAGAUGGUCUUCAAGGUAUAUUUAUGGAGUCUGAAGAGUAAACAGAAGCAAAGAGGCCGGCCGAAUGGAUGUUUGAGAAGGGCAUGUAUCACCUUCUCCUUCCAACUUUAUAGAAGAUCUGCAGCUCUUGCUACCUUGAGGCUAUGAAGAUAUGCUAAAUUUGCCAAUGUGCAGAAGCAUUUACAUUUGACUCACACAAUAGCAUUGAUGCUGAGUGCACUGUCCCAGCGGAGAAUGCUGAGUCCUCGGUCCUGCAUAUCUUCACAUAAGAUGUCUGAGCAAAGCAAUAAAAGGACAACGCCACUGUGUGCGCCAGCCCAGGACUUCCCCUUUGUAUGAGCUGAGUCACGCUUUUCCUGUUGUCAACUGGAAGGCUGUCCGUUGAUGUACGAUAGGGCUGGCUAUCUUGCUGAUGUCUAAAGCCAGGCGGCAAGGUUUCCUUGCAUUUGUUUCCCUUUCCUUGGGCUCUGACCAAUUAGAAGCUGCCCACUGGCCGAAAGAGAUAAGGAGUGGCUUACGGAGGCUCUGACGCUUCAUGGAAUGAACUCAUUUCUGACGAUUUGCUUCUGUUUGAGUGCUUUCUGGGGUUCCUGCCUUGCACAAUCUUACUGAUUUUAACACAGGGCUUUGGGGUGUAUAUAUGCAUUUUCUGCCUGAUAUCUGCUCCAUUGGCACGUGCUUUAAAACCACAGAUACAGUUGAUUGGCUGGAAUAAAAAAUGUGACAACGGGAAGUCAGAGGAUGGAAUCAACUGGGAAAUAAGCCUAACAAGCAAAGUUUCUGCUUAGGAGCCAAGACGGGAAUACUGUUCUGAGGAACAAAUAAACAGAACAAAUGGAAUGAAAAUGUCUGUCUGUCUGUCUGUCUCUCUCUCUCUCUCUCUCUCUCUCAAAAACAAGCACUCAGACUGUGCUAACUAUAUUAUCUUCUGUGCCUUGUAACCAACGAAGUGGUUCCGGAUAUUAACCCACAGUACUGUUGCUAGACAUGACACGAUCUUCCAAAUGAAGUGAGAGGCAUGUUUGUGUGUGUUAGCUGGAAAAUGCUGGCAAUACUAUAGUUGUUUGAGGAUCACUAUCAGCAGCGGGCUUUAAAAAUAAAUGUUCUGGUCUAAGUUAGUCUCUUGGUGUAUUCAGCAAGCAUCUACUAAGAGCUUCAUCCAGGGAAGGCACUCUUGGAGGCAUUAUGAACCACAGCAUUCCUUCUCAUUCAUGCGCCCCUGAGGGUUGGGCCAGCACUGCUCUGAUUUCUCAAGACUUCUGAGCACCAGUCCUCAGAAGGGUUUUUAUUUCUUCCAUG